GACGAGCGCUGGCGGCGUGCUUAACACAUGCAAGUCGAACGGAAAGGCCCUGCUUGCAGGGUACUCGAGUGGCGAACGGGUGAGUAACACGUGGGUGAUCUGCCCUGCACUUCGGGAUAAGCCUGGGAAACUGGGUCUAAUACCGGAUAUGACCUUCCAUGUAGUGUGGGGGGUGGAAAGAUUUAUCGGUGUGGGAUGAGCCCGCGGCCUAUCAGCUUGUUGGUGGGGUAAUGGCCUACCAAGGCGUCGACGGGUAGCCGGCCUGAGAGGGUGGACGGCCACAUUGGGACUGAGAUACGGCCCAGACUCCUACGGGAGGCAGCAGUGGGGAAUAUUGCACAAUGGGCGGAAGCCUUAUGCAGCGACGCCGCGUGGGGGAUGACGGCCUUCGGGUUGUAAACCUCUUUCGACAGGGACGAAGCUUCGGUGACGGUACCUGUAUAAGAAGCACCGGCUAACUACGUG
rnacentral:rRNA from 1 species